AAAGACAAGCAAUUAAUGUCAUUGGAGUUGUGAUUUCUAAACUACCAAGAAAAUUUAUUGUCACCAACAAGACAAGACAACAAAAAGCUAAUGAUUUUGUGAUGGUUGAUGAAGAGCUUAAACCUAUCAUUUUCACAAUGUGGGGAAAUUUUACGGUUUAUCAAGGCGUUGAAAUUGACAAAGAACUCCAAUAAGGAGAUU